rnacentral:rRNA from 1 species
GUUCGCGUCUUGUAAUUGGAAUGAGUAGAAUUUAAAUCCCUUUGCAAGUAUCAAUUGGAGGGCAAGUCUGGUGCCAGCAGCCGCGGUAAUUCCAGCUCCAAUAGCGUAUAUUAAAGUUGUUGCAGUUAAAAAGCUCGUAGUUGGAUUUCUGCCGAAAAAGAUCGAUUCGCCCUUACGGGUGUAACCAGGUCCUUUUUUGGCAUUCUUCUGGGGAACGUCUCUGCACUUCACUGUGUGGAACGGUAUCCAGAACUAUUACUUUGAGGAAAUUAGAGUGUUUCAAGCAGGCCAUCGCCUUGAAUACUACAGCAUGGAAUAAUAAGAUAGGACUUCGGUCUUAUUUUGUUGGUUUCUAGGACCGAGGUAAUGAUUAAUAGGGAUAGUUGGGGGCAUUCGUAUUUA